rnacentral:lncRNA from 1 species
CUAACGUGCCCCCAUAUCUCAUGCAUGUUCGGCGGCCGAACAUGAGGUUCGGCGGCCGAACCUUAAGUCUUUCAAACAAGGCUUUCGGGGGCCAAAGGCGCUCCCAAAACCUAUCCAUGUUCGGCUGCCGAACUUAACUUUCGGCGGCCGAACCUGGUAAAGCCUCCUUAGGCCUUUUUCAUUCAAAACUCAUUUUCCUUUUUACUUAAAAC